rnacentral:rRNA from 1 species
AUUGAACGCUGGCGGAAUGCUUUACACAUGCAAGUCGAACGGCAGCACGGGAGCUUGCUCCUGGUGGCGAGUGGCGAACGGGUGAGUAAUAUAUCGGAACGUAUCCAAUAAUGGGGGAUAACUAGUCGAAAGAUUAGCUAAUACCGCAUACGCCCUGAGGGGGAAAGCUGGGGAUCUUCGGACCUGGCGUUAAUGGAGCGGCCGAUAUCUGAUUAGCUAGUAGGUGAGGUAAAAGCUCACCUAGGCGACGAUCAGUAGCUGGUCUGAGAGGACGACCAGCCACACUGGAACUGAGACACGGUCCAGACUCCUACGGGAGGCAGCAGUGGGGAAUUUUGGACAAUGGGCGCAAGCCUGAUCCAGCCAUUCCGCGUGAGUGAAGAAGGCCUUCGGGUUGUAAAGCUCUUUCGCAAGGGAAGAAAACUUAUCCUCUAACAUAGGAUGAGGUUGACGGUACCUUGAUAAGAAGCACCGGCUAAUUACGUGCCAGCAGCCGCAGUAA